GACGAACGCUGGCGGCGUGCUUAACACAUGCAAGUCGAACGGAAAGGCCCUGCUUGCAGGGUACUCGAGUGGCGAACGGGUGAGUAACACGUGGGUGAUCUGCCCUGCACUUCGGGAUAAGCCUGGGAAACUGGGUCUAAUACCGGAUAGGAGCCAUUUUUAGUGUGAUGGUUGGAAAGUUUUUUCGGUGUAGGAUGAGCUCGCGGCCUAUCAGCUUGUUGGUGGGGUAAUGGCCUACCAAGGCCGCGACGGGUAGCCGGCCUGAGAGGGUGGACGGCCACAUUGGGACUGAGAUACGGCCCAGACUCCUACGGGAGGCAGCAGUGGGGAAUAUUGCACAAUGGGCGCAAGCCUGAUGCAGCGACGCCGCGUGGGGGAUGACGGCCUUCGGGUUGUAAACUCCUUUCGCUAGGGACGAAGCUUUUUGUGACGGUACCUAGAGAAGAAGCACCGGCUAACUACGUG
rnacentral:rRNA from 1 species